UUUAAUUAAUCUAAAACUGAAAGCAAUAAAAAUAAGGCAAAUAAUAAAAAUAAAGAGAAAUAAAUAAUAAGAAAGAUCUAGUUGAAGAAUUGGAUCCACUUUAGUUGUUGGGAUUGAUCAUUGACACUUAGUUUCCUUUGGGUUGAUUCAAUAGAUUAGUUAUGGAGAUGGAAGACGCUUCUCACCACCAUUAUCUCUCCUUAUGAUUAAACCAAUUAGGGAACGUCCUCUAAUUAAUUACUAAUUAACAAAUUGCCAAGGAACGUCCUUGGGCCUUAGGCAUCAAAACAAUUGUCAAUUGCAUUAAGAAAUAGAGAGAUCCAAUCCUAGCUAC
rnacentral:lncRNA from 1 species